rnacentral:rRNA from 1 species
ACGGGAGGCAGCAGUGAGGAAUAUUGGUCAAUGGGCGGAAGCCUGAACCAGCCAAGUCGCGUGAAGGAUGAAGGUAUUAUGUAUUGUAAACUUCUUUAGCAGUGGAGUAAUAAGGGGAUCGUGAUCCCUGAUGCAAGUACACUGAAAAUAAGGAUCGGCUAACUCCGUGCCAGCAGCCGCGGUAAUACGGAGGAUCCGAGCGUUAUCCGGAUUUAUUGGGUUUAAAGGGUGCGCAGGCGGCUUUUUAAGUCAGCGGUAAAAUCGUGGGGCUCAACCCCAUCCUGCCGUUGAUACUGGAGAGCUUGAUUGCGGUUGAGGUUGGCGGAAUUCGUCGUGUAGCGGUGAAAUGCAUAGAUAUGACGAAGAACUCCGAUUGCGUAGGCAGCUGACCAGGCCGUAAAUGACGCUCAUGCACGAAAGUGCGGGGAUCGAACAGGAUUAGAUACCCUGGUA